rnacentral:rRNA from 1 species
GACGAACGCUGGCGGCGCGCCUAACACAUGCAAGUCGAACGAGCGAGAGGAGGUUUACUUUCUCAAGCGAGUGGCGAACGGGUGAGUAACGCGUGAGGAACCUGCCUCAAAGAGGGGGACAACAGUUGGAAACGACUGCUAAUACCGCAUAAGCCCACGACCCGGCAUCGGGUAGAGGGAAAAGGAGCAAUCCGCUUUGAGAUGGCCUCGCGUCCGAUUAGCUAGUUGGUGAGGUAAUGGCCCACCAAGGCGACGAUCGGUAGCCGGACUGAGAGGUUGAACGGCCACAUUGGGACUGAGACACGGCCCAGACUCCUACGGGAGGCAGAAGUGGGGAAUAUUGCACAAUGGGGGAAACCCUGAUGCAGCGACGCCGCGUGGAGGAAGAAGGUCUUCGGAUUGUAAACUCCUGUUGUUGAGGAAGAUAAUGACGGUACUCAACAAGGAAGUGACGGCUAACUACGUG